AAAACCAAUAUUACUACCAUCGGUCCUCACCACUAGAUCGGUGCUAUGCUUUGUUGGGACAGCAGGCUGUGCCAGUUGGACAACUAAGGUCCAUCUACUGGUCCAGCACACA
rnacentral:snoRNA from 12 species